rnacentral:rRNA from 1 species
UACAGAGGUCUCAAGCGUUGUUCGGAUUCAUUGGGCGUAAAGGGUGCGUAGGCGGCGCAGUAAGUCGGGUGUGAAAUCUUGGAGCUUAACUCCGAAACUGCAUUCGAUACUGCCGUGCUUGAGGACUGGAGAGGAGACUGGAAUUUACGGUGUAGCGGUGAAAUGCGUAGAUAUCGUAAGGAAGACCAGUGGCGAAGGCGGGUCUCUGGACAGUUCCUGACGCUGAGGCACGAAGGUCAGGGGAGCAAACGGG